rnacentral:rRNA from 1 species
UACGGAGGGUGCGAGCGUUGUUCGGAAUCACUGGGCGUAAAGGGCGCGUAGGCGGCCUUCUAAGUCAGACGUGAAAUCCCCCGGCUUAACCUGGGAACUGCGUCUGAUACUGGGAGGCUUGAGUAUGGGAGAGGGAUGUAGAAUUCCAGGUGUAGCGGUGAAAUGCGUAGAUAUCUGGAGGAAUACCGGUGGCGAAGGCGGCAUCCUGGACCAUUACUGACGCUGAGGCGCGAAAGCUAGGGGAGCAAACGGG